ACUUUCCUUGUCAUGGGGUUGAGGACUGUUUAAUGAACCCAUAGUGAAAACAGGCCUGCGGACACCACAUCAACACCAUCGCACCACCUGAUUUCUUCAGGUCAGUAAAAGGUGCAAUUUUUGGAAAU